UUGUGAACUUUUAAAUUAUAGUUUUUCCCACUUUCUACAUUUUUAAAACUCUCUACAAUAAUUGUAUGAUUUUAUAGGCAGCCAACAAGAGCUACAAAAUACUUUAUGCUGAUGUGGCAGUGGUUAUACUUUAUUUAUUUAUUUGACAGAGUCACACUCCAUUACCCAGGCUGGAGUGCAGUGGUGUGAUCUCGGCUCACUGCAACCUCUGCCUCCGAGUUCAAGUAAUUCUUAAGCCUCAGCCUCUCAAGUAGCUGGGUUACAGGCACACACCACCACGCCUGGCUAAUUUUUGUAUUUGUAUUUUAAUUAAUUAAUUUAUUUAUUUUGAGACAGUCUUACUCUACUGCCCAGGCUGAAGUGCAGUGGUACAAUCUCAGGUGGUACAAUCUCAGCUCACUGCAACCUCCACCUCCCAGGUUCAAGCGAUUCUCCUGCCUCAGCCUCCUGAGUAGCUGGGAUCACAGACACCACCACACCCAGCUAAUUUUUUAAUAUUUUUGGCACAGAUGAGGUUUCAUCAUGUUGACCAGACUAGUCUCGAACUCCUGACCUCAAGUGAUCCACCUGCCUCUGCCUCCCAAAGUGCUGGGAUUACAGGCAUUAGCCACCACACCUGGCCUUAUUUUAUUUUUUGAGACAGUCUUGCUCUGUCAUCCAGGCUGGAGUGCUCAAGCAUCAGCCUCCUGAGUAGCUGGGAUUAUGGGCCCACACCACCAGACCCCAGGCUAUUCUUUGUUUUUUAGAAAAAAGGCAACAAAAGCACAAAUAGGCAAAUGGGAUUGCCUCAAGCUAAAAAGCUUCUGUUGCAGUGAGAGAAACAGUAAAGUGAAGAGACAACCUACAAAAUGGGAAAAAAUAUUUGUGACUAUCAAUCCAACAAGGGCUUAAUAACCAGAAUAUGUAAAAAACUCAAACAAAUCAAUAGCAAAAGAAAAAAAUGAUUAAAAAAUGAACUAAAGACCUGAACAGACAUUUCUCAAAACAUACAAAUGGCCAACAGUAUAUUUAAAAAUACUCAGUAUCACUAAUCAUCAGGAAAAUGCUAAUCAUAACCACAAUGAGAUAUUAUCUCACCACAGUUAGAGUGGUUAUUGUAAAAAAAAGACAGAAAAUAACACAUGCUGGGGAAAAUGCAGAGAAAGGAGAACAAUUGUAGACUGUAGUAGGAAUGUAAAGUAGUACAAGCACUAUGAAAAACAGCAUAGUAGUUCCUCUAUGACAGAACUACCAUAUGAUCCAGCAAUUCCAGUGCUAGGGAUAUAUCCAAAAGAUGGGAAAUCUGUAUACUGAAGAUUGCCUUCACUACUGUGCUAGUCCAGAAUAGCACUAGCACUCUUCACAAUAGCCAAGUUAUGGAAUCAACCUAGGUGUCCAUCAAAGGAUGAAUAAAUAAGAAAAUGUGGUUUAUAUACACAAUGGAAUAUUAUUCAGUCAUAAAAAGAAUGAAAUCCCGUCAUCACAGCAACGUGGAUGGAACUGGAAGUUGUGUUAAGUAAAAUAAGCCAGACACAGAGAGACAAAAUGGUAUGUUCUCACUCAUAUGUAGAGCUUAAAAAGUGGAUCUUAUGGAGGUAGAGGGUGGAAUGGUGGUUACCAGAGGCUGGGAAAGGAAUGGUGGAGAGGGAGAUGAAGAGAAGUUGGUUAAUGGCUACUAACAUACAGUUAGAUAGAAGAAAUAAGUUAAAGUGUUUGCUGGUAGAUUAGGGGGACUAUAGAUAACAACAGUGUAUUAUGUAUUUUAAAGUAGCUAGAAGAGAAGAAGUAUAAUAAUGUUCCCAGGACAAAGAAAAGAUAAAUGUUUGAGGUGAGGGAUGUCUUAAUAAUGUUAAUUUGAUCAUUACACAUUGUAUACAUGUAUCAAAAUCCUAAAAUAUCCCCAAAAUAUGUACAAUGAUUGUGUAUCAAUAAAUAUAAUACAAAAAUUCCAAGUUUUAGUUUUGUUCAUCUUUUCUAUUGUUUUUCUAGUUUUGAUUUAUUUCUUCUUUGAUCUUUAUUUCAUUCCUUCUACUAACUUUGGGCUUAGCUUGUUCUUCUUUUUCUAAGUUCCUUGAGGUUAACAUUAGCUUACUUAUUUGAGAUCCUUCUUCCAUUAAAAUGUAGCUGUUUAUUAAGAUAAUCUUCCCUCUUAGAACUGCUUUUGUAGGCUGGGUGUGGUGGCUCACACCUGUAAUCCCAGCACUGUGGGAGGCCAAGGCAGGCGGAUCACGAGGUCAAGAGAUCGAGAUCAUCCUGGCCAACAUAGUGAAACCCCAUCUCUACUAAAAACGCAAAAAUUAGCCGGACAUGGUGGUGGGCGCCUGUAGUCCCAGCUACUUCAGGAGGCUGAGGCAGGAGAAUCCCUUGAACCCAGGAAGCGGAGGUUGCAGUAAUCCGAGAUCUUGCCACUACACUCCAGCCUGGUGACAGAGGGAGACUCCAUCUCAAAAAGAAAGAAAGAAAAAAAUAGAACUGCUUUUGUUGAAUCCCAUAAUUUUGGGGAUAUUUUGUUUCUAUUUAGCUCAUCUCAAGAUAUUUUUGUAUUUCCAUUUUGAUUCCUUCUUUGAUACCUUGGCUGUUCAGGAG
ensembl:lncRNA